GCUCCCAUGGCGUAAUGGUUAAUGCGCCCGCCUUGCACGCGGGAGACCCGGGUUUGAUUCCCGGGGGGGUCA
rfam:Asian citrus Psyllid, Diaphorina citri - Florida Strain, whole genome shotgun sequence.